rnacentral:rRNA from 1 species
UCCAGCUCCAAUAGCGUAUAUUAAAGUUGUUGCAGUUAAAAAGCUCGUAGUUGAACCUUGGGCCUGGCUGGCCGGUCCGCCUCACCGCGUGUACUGGUCCGGCCGGGUCUUUCCUUCUGGGGAACCCCAUGCCCUUCACUGGGUGUGUCGGGGAACCAGGACUUUUACUUUGAAAAAAUUAGAGUGUUCAAAGCAGGCCUAUGCUCGAAUACGUUAGCAUGGAAUAAUAGAAUAGGACGUGUGGUUCUAUUUUGUUGGUUUCUAGGACCGCCGUAAUGAUUAAUAGGGACAGUCGGGGGCAUCAGUAUUCAACUGUCAGAGGUGAAAUUCUUAGAAUACUGUCAGAGGUGAAAUUCUUAGA